UACGUAGGGUGCAAGCGUUGUCCGGAAUUACUGGGCGUAAGGGCUCGAUAGGCGCCAACUAAGUCAGACGUGAAAUCCCUCGGCUUAACCGGGGAACUGCGUCUGAUACUGGAUGGCUUGAGUUUGGGAGAGGGAUGCGGAAUUCCAGGUGUAGCGGUGAAAUGCGUAGAUAUCUGGAGGAACACCGGUGGCGAAGGCGGCAUCCUGGACCAACACUGACGCUGAGUGAGCGAAAGC
rnacentral:rRNA from 1 species